AAGGGGAGGGGGUAACUUUAGCAAGGGGGAAAUGGUUUGAGGUGUGUAAGAUUCUCCCUUGCUAAACUUACCCCCUCCCCUU